rnacentral:rRNA from 1 species
AACGAACGCUGGCGGCAUGCCUAACACAUGCAAGUCGAACGAGACCUUCGGGUCUAGUGGCGCACGGGUGCGUAACGCGUGGGAAUCUGCCCCUCGGUUCGGAAUAACAGUGAGAAAUUACUGCUAAUACCGGAUGAUGACUUCGGUCCAAAGAUUUAUCGCCGAGGGAUGAGCCCGCGUAGGAUUAGGAAGUUGGUGGGGUAAUGGCCUACCAAGCCGACGAUCCUUAGCUGGUCUGAGAGGAUGAUCAGCCACACUGGGACUGAGACACGGCCCAGACUCCUACGGGAGGCAGCAGUGGGGAAUAUUGGACAAUGGGCGAAAGCCUGAUCCAGCAAUGCCGCGUGAGUGAUGAAGGCCUUAGGGUUGUAGAGCUCUUUUACCAGGGAUGAUAAUGACAGUACCUGGAGAAUAAGCUCCGGCUAACUCCGUGCCAGCAGCCGCAGUAAAAC